rnacentral:rRNA from 1 species
GUAGCGCAUCCUUCGGGAUGAGCGGCGGACGGUGUGAGUAACGCGUGGGAAUGUGCCCUUCUCUACGGAAUAGCCACUGGAAACGGUGAGUAAUACCGUAUACGCCCUCAGGGGGAAAGAUUUAUCGGAGAAGGAUCAGCCCGCGUUAGAUUAGGUAGUUGGUGGGGUAACGGCCUACCAAGCCUACGAUCUAUAGCUGGUUUUAGAGGAUGAUCAGCCACACUGGGACUGAGACACGGCCCAAGACUCCUACGGGAGGCAGCAGUAGGGAACUCUUGGACAAUGGGGGCAACCCUGAUCCAGCCAUGCCGCGCUGAGUGAAGAAUGGCCCUAGGGUCGUAAAGCUCUUUCGCCUGUGAUGAUCAUGACAGUAGCAGGUAAAGAAACCCCGGCUAACUCCGUGCCAGCAGCCGCGGUAAUA